rnacentral:misc_RNA from 1 species
AAGUCGUAACAAGGUUUCCGUAGGUGAACCUGCGGAAGGAUCAUUAUCACGUAAUUAUCCACGUUAUAAACCAAUAUGUGAACUGUAAAAAAAACCUCUGGGUUUUUGAUCGCUUACUGUGUAAUCUACGAGUGCUAUUUUUUUUGUAUGGUUAAAGCACUCACACGGUGAAUUUAAGAUCAUUUUCUUCAGUUGUAAUUAACUCAUACAUUUUUAUUUUUUAACCACUUGAACUAAAAUUUAUUAUUCUUUUGUUUGAACUGAUUUGUUUCUUACUCACAGAAAAGAAAUUUUUUAUGAGAAGAAAUCGAAUACGAAACAAAAAAAAACAACUCUUAGCAACGGAUAUCUUGGUUCUC